rnacentral:tRNA from 1 species
AAAGAUUUAAGUUAUAAGACUAAAGGCCUUCAAAGCCUAAAGCAGGAGCUAAAUCCCCCUAAUCUUUGAC